rnacentral:lncRNA from 7 species
CAGACUUAAUAAAUGGCAUGGCUAGCACUGAUGAAAUGAAAUUGUAGUGAAACAAGGUUGAUAGCCUGCUUUUGAAAGGUGUAGCACUAGAUCAGAGUUCAUCUAUUAAAACCUUCACUCUGAAUGAUCAACUGAUGUACAGGAUUUCUGCAUCGUGCUUUGUCCUCUGAAGAGAAGGAAAUCAUUCCUAUUUGCAGUCUGAAGAGAUGGCUGGAGAUAGAGUUCACUCAACAAGUGGAGCUUCUGUUCCAGCCUGAGGAUUCUGAUGAAAUGACUUUCUAAUCCUACAGCCUAUUUCAUAUUCAUGGAGGAGGUUUAAGAGAAUUGAGGGAAGAAUCUGCAUCGAGCUUUAUGAACAGCUCGGAUACAAACUGAAGUUUCUGUGUAAAACUGAGAUAAAUAAAGGGUAGGUUCUCAGAAGCCUUUAAAUUUGCAGUAUCAUCUUUUUUCUUGCCUCCCACAUGGAUACGGAUCAUACAAUCUGUGACCAGGAAGUUUUUAUUGAGUUUCAUCUUCCUGUUUGAUGCCAUGGGCUAUUAUUCUGUACACCUGCACUCAGCCAGAAAUGUAAUGAAAAAGAAUCAGUCUCUGAAGAGAAAGCUAUCAGCAGUCAGUAACAUCGGGCCACUUUCAUGUGUCUUGCAUUCAAUUGCCAAAAUGCCUUACCAUUAAAAACUGAAGAUAGUAUCUCAGCUGCUCUUCUUGGCAAGUCCAAAAUCACAGUGUACUACCAAGUUGAUCUAUAACAUGAUGUUAAUACUGUGGAAUUCAUUAGAGAAUGAAAAGUGUUAAUUCAUGUAUCCAGAAUAAAUUGUCUAAAACUUGAUUGACAGGAGCACCAGAAAACUAUUAUUUCUGAGAAAAUUCAUUAUUCUAUGUGCAUUACCUUUAUGUGUGUGUGUUCCACGUUACUCAUGCUCUGUGGUUUUCUCAGUUUAAAAUUCAAGCACUGCAGAAAUUCAUUGAUUAGUAGUAAACUUGCCAGGCAUUCACUGAGCAUAUUUAUGUUCCAGGUGUUUGGACUACAUGUACAAGUAUUCUGGUUGUGCCUGGGUGAACAUUGAGCUUGGAAUCAGUUUCCUUGUGUUGUCAUGCUUAGCUAUCUAUUUUGGAUGAUUAAAUAUCUAUUUUAAAGUAACUAUCUACUUUAAAUUUGUACAUUUCAGCAAAUAUUUCUGCUACAAAGCUUACUUACUUGAAUGCAAAUGCACAGGUGGUAUGGACAUUCUUAAAGCAAAUAUAAUGUGUUUUUUUUUACUACAUUUGAAAAGUAUUUCUACCCACUUUUGUAUAAUCAAUAUAUAAAAUAUGAUGUCAGUUCUAGGAGUAUAUUAUUUCCAUUUUCAGCCUAUAGUACAUAUAAAAAUGAGUCUGCUGAGUCAUCAGUCCACCUUUUAUCAUUGAUAUAUAUUUGGAUACAGUAUAGUAAUUGACUCUGAAUGAAUAAAAAUGAAUCAAAACUGGACAUUAAUUUAGCAUUUGCAAUAGUCCUGACACAGAGCAGUUGCACAUAGGAGGGAAUAAGUGAUUGUUACUUCGCAGGACACGAUGAUCGGAAACAAUAUUAAGAGUGAUUUUUCCUCUCCGUCCU